rnacentral:rRNA from 1 species
AGAGUUUGAUCAUGGCUCAGGACGAACGCUGGCAGCGUGCUUAACACAUGCAAGUCGAACGGGGUCCAACCAGUGGCAACACUGGGGCAGACCUAGUGGCGAACGGGUGAGUAACACGUGAGCAACCCACCCCGGACUCUGGGAUAACAGUGGGAAACCACUGCUAAUACCGGAUACCUUCCCGACGGUUCAUGCCGAUGGGAAGAAAGGGUUACUGGUCCGGGACGGGCUCGCGGCCUAUCAGCUUGUUGGUGGGGUAACGGCCUACCAAGGCGUCGACGGGUAGCUGGUCUGAGAGGAUGAUCAGCCACACUGGGACUGAGACACGGCCCAGACUCCUACGGGAGGCAGCAGUGGGGAAUCUUGCGCAAUGGGCGAAAGCCUGACGCAGCAACGCCGCGUGGGGGAUGAAGGCCUUCGGGUUGUAAACCCCUUUCAGCAGGAACGAAUAUGACGGUACCUGCAGAAGAAGGUCCGGCCAACUACGUGCCAGCAGCCGCGGUAACACGUAGGGACCGAGCGUUGUCCGGAUUUAUUGGGCGUAAAGAGCUCGUAGGCGGUUCGGUAAGUCGGGUGUGAAAACUCCGGGCUCAACUCGGAGAUGCCACCCGAUACUGCCGUGACUCGAGUCCGGUAGGGGAGCACGGAAUUCCUGGUGUAGCGGUGAAAUGCGCAGAUAUCAGGAGGAACACCGGUGGCGAAGGCGGUGCUCUGGGCCGGAACUGACGCUGAGGAGCGAAAGCGUGGGGAGCAAACAGGAUUAGAUACCCUGGUAGUCCACGCCGUAAACGUUAGGCACUAGGUGUGGGUCCUUACCAACGGGAUCCGUGCCGCAGCUAACGCAUUAAGUGCCCCGCCUGGGGAGUACGGCCGCAAGGUUAAAACUCAAAUGAAUUGACGG